rnacentral:snRNA from 1 species
UUCUGACUUCAAGCCAGAAUUCUGGACUCAAUGUAAAAGAUACAGAGAAGAUUAUCAAGGCUGCAAAAGAAAAGAAACAAUUAACAAAUAGAGGUGUCCUAAUUUA